rnacentral:rRNA from 1 species
AACGAACGCUGGCGGCAGGCCUAACACAUGCAAGUCGAACGAGAUCUUCGGAUCUAGUGGCGGACGGGUGAGUAACGCGUGGGAACGUGCCCUUCUCUACGGAAUAGUCCCGGGAAACUGGGUUUAAUACCGUAUACGCCCUUCGGGGGAAAGAAUUUCGGGGAAGGAUCGGCCCGCGUUGGAUUAGGUAGUUGGUGGGGUAAUGGCCUACCAAGCCGACGAUCCAUAGCUGGUUUGAGAGGAUGAUCAGCCACACUGGGACUGAGACACGGCCACGACUCCUACGGGAGGCAGCAGUGGGGAAGUCUUAGACAAUGGGGGCGAACCCUUCUAGCCAUGCCGCGUGAGUGACGAAGGCCUAGGUCGUAAAGCUCUUUCGCCAGGGAUGAUAAUGACAGUACCUGGUAAAACCCCGGCUAACUCCGUGCCA